rnacentral:rRNA from 1 species
AUUGAACGCUAGCGGGAUGCCUUACACAUGCAAGUCGAACGGAGUGGCGAACGGGUGAGUAAUGUAUCGGAACGUGCCCAGUAGCGGGGGAUAACUACGCGAAAGCGUAGCUAAUACCGCAUACUAUUGGAGCGGCCGCUAUCGGAUUAGCUAGUUGGUGGGGUAACGGCUCACCAAGGCGACGAUCCGUAGCUGGUUUGAGAGGACGACCGGCCACACUGGGACUGGUACACGGCCCAGACUCCUACGGGGGGCAGCAUUGGGGAAUUUGGGAGAAUGGGUGAAACCCGGACCCAGCCACCCCGCGGGAGCGAUGAAGGCCUUCGGGUUGUAAAGCACUGUUGGCAGAAAAGCGGUACCUAAAGAGUAAGCCCCGGCUAACUACGUGCCAGCCGCCGCGGUAAUAC